rnacentral:rRNA from 1 species
CCUACGGGGGGCAGCAGUAGGGAAUCUUCCACAAUGGGCGAAAGCCUGAUGGAGCAACGCCGCGUGGGUGAAGAAGGUCUUCGGAUCGUAAAACCCUGUUGUUAGAGAAGAAAGUACGUGAGAGUAACUGUUCACGUUUCGACGGUAUCUAACCAGAAAGCCACGGCUAACUACGUGCCAGCAGCCGCGGUAAUACGUAGGUGGCAAGCGUUAUCCGGAUUUAUUGGGCGUAAAGGGAACGCAGGCGGUCUUUUAAGUCUGAUGUGAAAGCCUUCGGCUUAACCGGAGUAGUGCAUUGGAAACUGGGAGACUGGAGUGCAGAAGAGGAGAGUGGAACUCCAUGUGUAGCGGUGAAAUGCGUAGAUAUAUGGAAGAACACCAGUGGCGAAAGCGGCUCUCUGGUCUGUAACUGACGCUGAGGUUCGAAAGCGUGGGUAGCAAACAGGAUUAGAUACCCGAGUAGUC